ensembl:snRNA U6 U6 spliceosomal RNA
GUGUUCACUUUGGCAGCACAUAUACUAACACUGGAAUGAUACAGCAAAGAUUACCAAGGCCUCUGUGCAAAAACGGGGAUCUGAAAUGAAUACAAAUGGCAA